rnacentral:misc_RNA from 1 species
GAUUGCUAAAGAUGCAGUUCAAAAAGCAACAAUGGCCCUUUCUUUGGCUGAGGCAAGGCUUCUAGUUGCUCUUGAUUCAAUACAAUCUGCAAAACAAGGACGUAUGUCUUCAAAAACUUCUGACGAAAGCAAAGGGGAAGAAUCAACUUCAUUGAUGGAGGAAGAGACAGCACUUUCAGCUGCUCAGGAAGAUAUGGAGGAGUGUCG